rnacentral:rRNA from 1 species
GACGAACGCUGGCGGCGUGCCUAAUACAUGCAAGUUGAGCGCUGAAGGUUGGUACUUGUACCAACUGGAUGAGCAGCGAACGGGUGAGUAACGCGUGGGGAAUCUGCCUUUGAGCGGGGGACAACAUUUGGAAACGAAUGCUAAUACCGCAUAAAAACUUUAAACACAAGUUUUAAGUUUGAAAGAUGCAAUUGCAUCACUCAAAGAUGAUCCCGCGUUGUAUUAGCUAGUUGGUGAGGUAAAGGCUCACCAAGGCGAUGAUACAUAGCCGACCUGAGAGGGUGGUCGGCCACAUUGGGACUGAGACACGGCCCAAACUCCUACGGGAGGCAGCAGUAGGGAAUCUUCGGAAAUGGACGAAAGGCUGACCGAGCAACGCCGCGUGAGUGAAGAAGGUUUUCGGAUCGGAAAACUCUGUUGGUAGGGAAGAACGUUGGUGAGAGUGGAAAGCUCAUCAAGUGACGGUAACUACCCAGAAAGGGACGGCUAACUACGUG